rfam:Beta vulgaris subsp. vulgaris chromosome 5, whole genome shotgun sequence.
AAAAGCUCGAACGGCCUUUAACAAAAGGGUACCUGUACCCAAAGUCGUAAGACCAUGUAUGGGGGCUGACGCCUGCCUAUCCCCGGUGAACGGCGGGCGUAACUAUAACGGUCCUAAGGUAGCGAAAUUCCUUGUUGGGUAGGUUCCGGCCCGCACAAAAGGCGUAACGAUCUGGAC